CUCAAAAUAGAAAACAUCCUUAUUUCACCUGGGCUGCUGCCAAGAACCAGAGUAAGCUACAAAGAGUCAUCUUGCAUGUUAGCUUUUCCACCUUUGGCAGACAGCACCUUGUGGCCCUCACUGCAAUGAUUACAGGAUGUGUGUAACGUGUGGGAUUUGGGGCCAUGCACAGGGAUACAGUAGAGGGCUGUGCUUGGAUGGAUGCCGGCCAUCUUCAGUUUUCUGCACCAUAAUUGUCACCACUGCUACCCCAGCAUGGGCCUGUAGUCUUGUGCCAGGCAGUAUCACCCGGCUGCCUAGAAAGGUCAGGCUCGUCUUGACAGCCAUCAGGGGCAAGGCCCUCUUUCAAAUUAAGUACCAUAUUAAAUUAACAGUAUCUCUUCAUUAUCCGAAUGCACACAAAAACUACACAGGCCUUUCCCACACACUAGAGUAUGAGCUGUACACACAGGAAGAGCUUGGCCGUCAGCAAGGCAUUUUGGACCAUGAGACUUUGUGGCUGGGGGCUGGGGAGUCUUUCUUCUUUUAUCCUGAGCCAGAGAAUAGACAACUCAGCCGCUUCAUGCUCAUCAUCUUAAUCAUAGGCUCAAGAUGGAUAUUUUGCUGGGAAGAUCUCAAUUAUUCCAAGGUUGGGCAAUCAGUAGCACCAGGAC
rnacentral:lncRNA from 1 species